GCUUGACUUGCUCAGUCGGUUGAGCAUGAGACUCUUAAUCUCAGGGUCGUGGGCUCAAGCCCCACGUUGGGCG
rnacentral:tRNA from 1 species